UCCUUCCUCUUUCCAAACUUCUCAAAAAAAGCCAACUGUCCUUCUCCAGUGGUCGCUGGCCAUCUACCCUCGUUAAUCGUAAUUAUAGAAGAUCGUUCCUUCCUCCAACUACCACCUCACUCACCCUUCUCUUUAUUUUGUCCUGCUUCACUCUGCAACUCACUCAUCCACUGCUCCUCACGACGCCGUUUCUUAAGCUAGCAAAUGGCUCUUCAAUCCUUCAUCCCUGUCCAUCCCGACUCCCACUUCCCUAUCCAAAAUCUUCCCUAUGGAGUUUUCAAGCCCCAACCAACUUCGACGCCUCGACCGGCCGUCGCAAUUGGCGAUUACGCUCUCGACCUCUACGAGAUUGCUCUUGCUGGCCUUUUCUACGGUCCUAUCCUCAAAGGCUCUGAUUGUUUCCUUCAGCCUAACUUGAACAAAUUUUUGGCCAUGGGAAGGCCGGCUUGGAAGGAAGCUCGUGUCACACUUCAAAAGCUUUUGUCAUCUUCUGAACCUGCAUUGCGUGAUAAUGAAAGUUUGAGGCAGAAAUCGCUUGUGCCAUUGAGCAAGGUGGAAAUGCUUCUGCCUGUUGCUAUUGGGGACUACACGGACUUCUUUUCUUCGAUGCACCAUGCGAAGAAUUGUGGGACCAUAUUUCGUGGACCGCAGAAUCCUAUUCCAGCAAACUGGUUUCACCUUCCCAUUGCAUAUCAUGGACGAGCUUCUUCUAUUGUUAUAUCUGGAACAGAUAUCGUGAGACCAAGAGGUCAAGGCCAUCCAGCUGGAAAUUCCCCACCUUAUUUUGGACCUUCCAAGAAGCUAGACUUUGAGCUAGAAAUGGCUGCUGUAGUUGGCCCUGGAAAUGAAUUAGGGAAACCUGUGGAUGUUAAUGAAGCUGGAGAUCAUAUAUUUGGACUUGUAUUAAUGAAUGAUUGGAGUGCUAGAGAUAUCCAAGCGUGGGAGUAUGUGCCUCUUGGGCCUUUUCUUGGAAAGAGUUUUGGUACUACAAUAUCCCCUUGGAUUGUAACACUUGAUGCUUUGGAGCCUUAUGCUUGUGAUGCCCCCAAACAGGAUCCCAAUCCAUUGCCGUAUCUAGCUGAAAAAAAAUCCAAAAACUAUGAUAUCACACUAGAGGUCCAAAUUAAACCAGCAGGACAAGAAGAUUCAUGUUUGGUCACAAGAAGCAACUUCAAGAACUUGAGCUCUCAUAAGCAAAGGAUAUCAUAUAGUAUACCCAUAACAAAUUUUAUGUGCUACUGUAUUCUCCUGGCAGUGAUAUAUCUCAUUUGUCCCUUCAUACCAUUGAUUUUUUGUUUAGAGACUGCCAUCAAAUUUCUACAUGUAUUGGACAUUAACUCAACAGCUUGCCCACCAUACAAUAAAUGGCUGCAACCUAAGGCCAGGCGAUCUACUUGGAACUGGAACAAUUAGUGGACCUGAGCCAGAAUCUCUUGGAUGCUUGUUAGAACUAACAUGGAAUGGAACAAAACCAUUGUCAUUAAAUGGAACAACCCGAACAUUCCUAGAAGAUGGAGAUGAAGUCAUCUUCAGUGGUUAUUCUAAGGGAAAUGGUUAUAAUGUUGGGUUUGGAACAUGCUCUGGAAAAAUUCUUCCAUCGCUGCCAUGUUGAAAUUACUGUUCUUUUUCAGUUUGUAUUUUCAGUAAUUUUUUUUCUUAGCUGUGAUUGUACUUGGUGAAGCUUAUAGAAAACUGCUCUGUCCGCAAUUGCCAAUAACUGGUUGUUAGCCAAAAGUUGUGUGCCUACAUAGAAUGGCAACGUUUUAGCUAUGAAGGCUGAAAUGGUUGUGACAAUUAUAUUUCUCAACAUUAUGAUCUUUUGCUGCUGAGAAUUAAAAGAAAUGCUUUUGUAUUGGUCCAA